AUGCUUGCAUUUAACUGAUUUAACAUUGAGACGAGUGGCGAACUGGUGAGUAACACGUGGGUAACCUGCCCUUGAAGUAGGGGAUAACACUUGGAAACAGGUGCUAAUACCGUAUAACAACCAAAACCACCUGGUUUUGGUUUAAAAGAUGGCUUCGGCUAUCACUUUAGGAUGGACCCGCGGCGUAUUAGCUUGUUGGUAAGGUAACGGCCUACCAAGGCAAUGAUACGUAGCCGACCUGAGAGGGUAAUCGGCCACAUUGGGACUGAGACACGGCCCAAACUCCUACGGGAGGCAGCAGUAGGGAAUCUUCCACAAUGGACGAAAGUCUGAUGGAGCAACGCCGCGUGAGUGAUGAAGGGUUUCGGCUCGUAAAACUCUGUUGUUGGAGAAGAACAGGUGUGAGAGUAACUGUUCACAUCUUGACGGUAUCCAACCAGAAAGCCACGGCUAACUACGUGCCAGCAGCCGCGGUAAUACGUAGGUGGCAAGCGUUGUCCGGAUUUAUUGGGCGUAAAGCGAGCGCAGGCGGUUUCUUAGGUCUGAUGUGAAAGCCUUCGGCUUAACCGGAGAAGUGCAUCGGAAACCAGGAGACUUGAGUGCAGAAGAGGACAGUGGAACUCCAUGUGUAGCGGUGAAAUGCGUAGAUAUAUGGAAGAACACCAGUGGCGAAGGCGGCUGUCUGGUCUGUAACUGACGCUGAG
rnacentral:rRNA from 1 species